rnacentral:tRNA from 1 species
ACCUGGCUGGCUUAGUCAGUAGAACAUAUGACUCUUGAUCUCAGGGUCAUGAGUUCAAGUCCCAUGUUGGGUG